CACUGCGCCAGUAUCGCUGGAAGGAGCCGCACGAGGGGCACCAACCCCCUCAGGCUGCCUUCCCCCCCCCCCCACCCCCCCCCCCGGCCGGCUCCAUGCCCGGCGGCGCCGGAAGGGAUUAGUCGCCCUUCCGCCGCGGGGUCACGUGACGUCCCGUCGGCCCCGCAAGAUGGCGGCGCCCAUGUUGCUGCCCGAGUCCCCCCUGGGGAAGCUGAGGUGAGGCCGGGCCGCGCCCCCCCCCCGCCCCCGCCGCCGAGGGAGGGAGCCCCGGGGGGAGCUCGGGAGGGGUCCGCGGCUCGCUCCUCGUCCCGGCCGAGGGCCCGGCGGUGCCUCCGUGCGGCGGGCCCGGCGCUGAGGCCGCCUCGCGGCCGGGCCCGGGAGUGGCGCAGCUCCCUGCCGCCAUGGCCGCCCCGCCAAGGGGGCCCUGAGGGCCGGGGGGGGUCGGGGAGGUGCGGGGGAGGCCCUGAGGGGGCUGCGGGGCCGCUGCGCUGCGCAGGGGUUGGGAGCCGGGCUGAGGGGAGCUGGGCGCGGGGCGGGGGGGGGGCGCGGGGGGCGCCCCGCGCACGCCGGGGGGGGGGGGGGGGUCCCAGGGCGUUGGUGGUGCAGGGGGGGAAGCCAAAAAAUGGUCCUGCGGCGAGGUUUGGGUCUGUGAGGGAAGGAGCUCGGCUUGAUGCGGCUCGUCGCGGUGCUAUGAGUGGCACGCAGCACUCGCGCAUAGCCACGAGCUUAGCUGGAGAUGCAGCCAUCAAAAAUACAGAGCUAUUCUGAAAAAAGAAAAGCGGAAAAAAAAGCGGCAGGCACUGGCCAAACUGAGAGACUCUGAAGCUACAGAAAAAGAUGAAUCAGUGUCUGAGGAGGAAGAGGAGGAACUGGAAGAAGAGGAAGAAGAAGAAGAGGAGAAAAAGCUCGAGGCAGAAAGGUGAAACAGCUAGAAACUAGCAUAUGCUUAGUAGAAAGGUUUUUAGCCAAUUACAUUUUGAAAAUUUGAAAAGUCUCAAUAUAUUUUAUGAAAUAGAAUCCUUAAUCUGUGCUUUAUG
rnacentral:lncRNA from 1 species